CAGUCGCCACGGUAAUACGAAGGGGGCUAGCGUUGUUCGGAAUUACUGGGCGUAAAGCGCACGUAGGCGGAUAUUUAAGUCAGGGGUGAAAUCCCGCAGCUCAACUGCGGAACUGCCUUUGAUACUGGGUAUCUUGAGUAUGGAAGAGGUUAGUGGAAUUGCGAGUGUAGAGGUGAAAUUCGUAGAUAUUCGCAGGAACACCAGUGGCGAAGGCGGCUAACUGGUCCAUAACUGACGCUGAGGUGCGAAAGCGUGGGGAGCAAACAGGAUUAGAUACCCCCGUAGUCCCUGUCUCUUAUAU
rnacentral:rRNA from 1 species